rnacentral:rRNA from 1 species
UACGUAGGGUGCGAGCGUUGCCCGGAUUUAUUGGGCGUAAAGGGCGCGCAGGCGGCUUUGCAAGACAGACGUGAAAUCCCCGGGCUCAACCUGGGAACUGCAUUUGUGACUGCAAGGCUGGAGUACGGCAGAGGGGGAUGGAAUUCCGCGUGUAGCAGUGAAAUGCGUAGAUAUGCGGAGGAACACCGAUGGCGAAGGCAAUCCCCUGGGCCUGUACUGACGCUCAUGCACGAAAGCGUGGGGAGCAAACAGG